GGGGCUGUAGCUCAGUGGCAGAGCACUUGCCUAGCAUGCAUGAGGCACUGAAGCUAAAGCACUAAGAAGAGUCUGGGUCCGAUCCUCAGCACCA
rnacentral:tRNA from 1 species